rnacentral:tRNA from 1 species
GGUCAGGUAGCUCAGUUGGCAGAGCGCCGGUCUGAAAAACCGGAGGUCGACGGAUCGACGCCGUCCCUGACCACCA